rnacentral:rRNA from 1 species
UACGAAGGGGGCUAGCGUUGCUCGGAAUCACUGGGCGUAAAGGGCGCGUAGGCGGCCUGAUCAGUCGGGGGUGAAAGCCUGUGGCUCAACCACAGAAUGGCCUCGAUACUGUCGGGCUUGAGACCGGAAGAGGUAAGUGGAACUGCGAGUGUAGAGGUGAAAUUCGUAGAUAUUCGCAAGAACACCAGUGGCGAAGGCGGCUUACUGGUCCGGAUCUGACGCUGAGGCGCGAAAGCGUGGGGAGCGAACAGG